CAUCUGGAAAGAUGAAUCAAAGAAGGUAAUAAUCCUGUAGUCGAAAACAUAUUCUCUCUUGAGUGGAUCCUGAGUACGACGGAGCACGUGAAAUUCCGUCGGAAUCUGGGAGGACCAUCUCCUAAGGCUAAAUACUCUCUAGUGACCGAUAGUGAACCAGUACCGUGAGGGAAAGGUGAAAAGUACCCCGGAAGGGGAGUGAAAGAGAACUUGAAACCGUGUGCUUACAAGUAGUCAGAGCCCGUUAAUGGGUGAUGGCGUGCCUUUUGUAGAAUGAACCGGCGAGUUACGAUCUAAUGCAAGGUUAAGCAGCAAAUGUGGAGCCGCAGCGAAAGCGAGUCUGAAUAGGGCGUUGAGUAUUUGGUCGUAGACCCGAAACCAGGUGAUCUACCCUUGGUCAGGUUGAAGUUCAGGUAACACUGAAUGGAGGACCGAACCGACUUACGUUGAAAAGUGAGCGGAUGAACUGAGGGUAGCGGAGAAAUUCCAAUCGAACUUGGAGAUAGCUGGUUCUCUCCGAAAUAGCUUUAGGGCUAGCCUCAAGUGAUGAUUAUUGGAGGUAGAGCACUGUUUGGACGAGGGGCCCCUCUCGGGU
rnacentral:rRNA from 1 species